UGGGGAAUAUUGGACAAUGGGCGCAAGCCUGAUCCAGCCAUGCCGCGUGAGUGACGAAGGCCUUAGGGUUGUAAAGCUCUUUUGGCGGGGACGAUAAUGACGGUACCCGCAGAAUAAGCCCCGGCUAACUUCGUGCCAGCAGCCGCGGUAAUACGAAGGGGGCUAGCGUUGUUCGGAAUCACUGGGCGUAAAGCGCACGUAGGCGGAUUUGUAAGUCAGGGGUGAAAUCCCGGGGCUCAACCUCGGAACUGCCUUUGAUACUGCAAGUCUCGAGUUCGGGAGAGGUGAGUGGAAUUCCUAGUGUAGAGGUGAAAUUCGUAGAUAUUAGGAAGAACACCAGUGGCGAAGGCGGCUCACUGGCCCGAUACUGACGCUGAGGUGCGAAAGCGUGGGGAGCAAACAGGAUUAGAUACCCCUGUAGUCCCUGAGCGGGCUGG
rnacentral:rRNA from 1 species